GGUUAAGCGACUAAGCGUACACGGUGGAUGCCCUGGCAGUCAGAGGCGAUGAAGGACGUGCUAAUCUGCGAUAAGCGUCGGUAAGGUGAUAUGAACCGUUAUAACCGGCGAUUUCCGAAUGGGGAAACCCAGUGUGAUUCGUCACACUAUCAUUAACUGAAUCCAUAGGUUAAUGAGGCGAACCGGGGGAACUGAAACAUCUAAGUACCCCGAGGAAAAGAAAUCAACCGAGAUUCCCCCAGUAGCGGCGAGCGAACGGGGAGCAGCCCAGAGCCUGAAUCAGUGUGUGUGUUAGUGGAAGCGUCUGGAAAGGCGUGCGAUACAGGGUGACAGCCCCGUACACAAAAAUGCACAUGCUGUGAGCUCGAUGAGUAGGGCGGGACACGUGGUAUCCUGUCUGAAUAUGGGGGGACCAUCCUCCAAGGCUAAAUACUCCUGACUGACCGAUAGUGAACCAGUACCGUGAGGGAAAGGCGAAAAGAACCCCGGCGAGGGGAGUGAAAAAGAACCUGAAACCGUGUACGUACAAGCAGUGGGAGCACGCUUAGGCGUGUGACUGCGUACCUUUUGUAUAAUGGGUCAGCGACUUAUAUUCUGUAGCAAGGUUAACCGAAUAGGGGAGCCGAAGGGAAACCGAGUCUUAACUGGGCGUUAAGUUGCAGGGUAUAGACCCGAAACCCGGUGAUCUAGCCAUGGGCAGGUUGAAGGUUGGGUAACACUAACUGGAGGACCGAACCGACUAAUGUUGAAAAAUUAGCGGAUGACUUGUGGCUGGGGGUGAAAGGCCAAUCAAACCGGGAGAUAGCUGGUUCUCCCCGAAAGCUAUUUAGGUAGCGCCUCGUGAAUUCAUCUCCGGGGGUAGAGCACUGUUUCGGCAAGGGGGUCAUCCCGACUUACCAACCCGAUGCAAACUGCGAAUACCGGAGAAUGUUAUCACGGGAGACACACGGCGGGUGCUAACGUCCGUCGUGAAGAGGGAAACAACCCAGACCGCCAGCUAAGGUCCCAAAGUCAUGGUUAAGUGGGAAACGAUGUGGGAAGGCCCAGACAGCCAGGAUGUUGGCUUAGAAGCAGCCAUCAUUUAAAGAAAGCGUAAUAGCUCACUGGUCGAGUCGGCCUGCGCGGAAGAUGUAACGGGGCUAAACCAUGCACCGAAGCUGCGGCAGCGACGCUUAUGCGUUGUUGGGUAGGGGAGCGUUCUGUAAGCCUGCGAAGGUGUGCUGUGAGGCAUGCUGGAGGUAUCAGAAGUGCGAAUGCUGACAUAAGUAACGAUAAAGCGGGUGAAAAGCCCGCUCGCCGGAAGACCAAGGGUUCCUGUCCAACGUUAAUCGGGGCAGGGUGAGUCGACCCCUAAGGCGAGGCCGAAAGGCGUAGUCGAUGGGAAACAGGUUAAUAUUCCUGUACUUGGUGUUACUGCGAAGGGGGGACGGAGAAGGCUAUGUUGGCCGGGCGACGGUUGUCCCGGUUUAAGCGUGUAGGCUGGUUUUCCAGGCAAAUCCGGAAAAUCAAGGCUGAGGCGUGAUGACGAGGCACUACGGUGCUGAAGCAACAAAUGCCCUGCUUCCAGGAAAAGCCUCUAAGCAUCAGGUAACAUCAAAUCGUACCCCAAACCGACACAGGUGGUCAGGUAGAGAAUACCAAGGCGCUUGAGAGAACUCGGGUGAAGGAACUAGGCAAAAUGGUGCCGUAACUUCGGGAGAAGGCACGCUGAUAUGUAGGUGAAGCGACUUGCUCGUGGAGCUGAAAUCAGUCGAAGAUACCAGCUGGCUGCAACUGUUUAUUAAAAACACAGCACUGUGCAAACACGAAAGUGGACGUAUACGGUGUGACGCCUGCCCGGUGCCGGAAGGUUAAUUGAUGGGGUCAGCGCAAGCGAAGCUCUUGAUCGAAGCCCCGGUAAACGGCGGCCGUAACUAUAACGGUCCUAAGGUAGCGAAAUUCCUUGUCGGGUAAGUUCCGACCUGCACGAAUGGCGUAAUGAUGGCCAGGCUGUCUCCACCCGAGACUCAGUGAAAUUGAACUCGCUGUGAAGAUGCAGUGUACCCGCGGCAAGACGGAAAGACCCCGUGAACCUUUACUAUAGCUUGACACUGAACAUUGAGCCUUGAUGUGUAGGAUAGGUGGGAGGCUUUGAAGUGUGGACGCCAGUCUGCAUGGAGCCGACCUUGAAAUACCACCCUUUAAUGUUUGAUGUUCUAACGUGGACCCGUGAUCCGGGUUGCGGACAGUGUCUGGUGGGUAGUUUGACUGGGGCGGUCUCCUCCUAAAGAGUAACGGAGGAGCACGAAGGUUGGCUAAUCCUGGUCGGACAUCAGGAGGUUAGUGCAAUGGCAUAAGCCAGCUUGACUGCGAGCGUGACGGCGCGAGCAGGUGCGAAAGCAGGUCAUAGUGAUCCGGUGGUUCUGAAUGGAAGGGCCAUCGCUCAACGGAUAAAAGGUACUCCGGGGAUAACAGGCUGAUACCGCCCAAGAGUUCAUAUCGACGGCGGUGUUUGGCACCUCGAUGUCGGCUCAUCACAUCCUGGGGCUGAAGUAGGUCCCAAGGGUAUGGCUGUUCGCCAUUUAAAGUGGUACGCGAGCUGGGUUUAGAACGUCGUGAGACAGUUCGGUCCCUAUCUGCCGUGGGCGCUGGAGAACUGAGGGGGGCUGCUCCUAGUACGAGAGGACCGGAGUGGACGCAUCACUGGUGUUCGGGUUGUCAUGCCAAUGGCACUGCCCGGUAGCUAAAUGCGGAAGAGAUAAGUGCUGAAAGCAUCUAAGCACGAAACUUGC
rnacentral:rRNA from 1 species